UUUUUUUUUUUUACUGGGGAUUGAACUCAGAGACAUUCAACCACUGAGCCACAUCCUCAGUCCUAUUUUGUAUUUCAUUUAGAGACAGGGUCUCACUGAGUUGCUUAGCGCCUCACUGUUGCUGAGGAUGGCUUUGAACCUGCGAUCCUCCUGUCUCAGCCUCUCCAGCUGGGAGUACAGGCAUACGCCACCAUGCCUGGCCAACUUUUUUUUUUUUUUUUACCUGCCUCAUAUCUCUGGGCUCUGAGUUUGAAAUUCCUGAGGGAUGACCUUGUUGGCCUCAUUUGGAUUAGAGAAGCACCCUGGGCAGUUGAAUAGGAUCAGUUUGUUGAGUAUUGUGCUACGAAGCGUGGGCUCAGGCCCUUGGAACAGUGAGAGGUAUGGCUCCUUGAAAGUGCCACGAAGCUAAUGAUACCUAAAAUGUCCACUGAUUUCAAUGUAACCCUAAUUAUGAAGGGAUGAGGAGGAAGGAAAAAAAAUUGUUUUAGUCACAGGUAGGCCUAGUAUUUUUAGAGAUGUAAGGAAACAUAUCACUGGAGGUCACUGGAGGUCAUUAGGGGCUAUAAGGUGCUGGUGAAGUUCGAAAUGGCUUAUGCAGGAGGGAAAGACUUGAAUCUGUCCUGAGGGGAAUUGCUGGAUCUGGAGAGAUACAGGAGAGAGAAAGUUUCCCAGACAAGAGCUGUAUGAAAAAUAGGCCAGACAGGCUGAUGAACUUCCCACUUGGUGGCAAGGGGAUUUGGCCUGAUUGGGUGGAGAUCUGCUUUCAGGAGAUGUGCAAGAUAAAUUUGGAUAGUUAGGGUGAUUCCAGAUCGUAGAAGACUUUGAAAGAUGGGCAGAGGGUGUAGAUUUGGUAAGAGGGAAACAGGUAACAGUUUUGAAAGAAAAAAGUAAUAUGAGAAAAGUGAAGUUUUAGAGGGUGGGCGUAGUCACAAUGUGUAAGACGUACUAAAUUACCAAGUCAUUGAGGCAGCACAGCUUGCUAGGAUACUGCCCUGGAGUUCAGCAUAAAAUAGAGAUUCCCAGUCAGGCAUACUGGUGCACUCCUGUAAUCCCAGAGACUAGGUAAGCUGAGACAGGAGGAUUGCAAAUUUGAGGCCAGCCUCAGCAACUGAGCAAGCGAGGCCCUAAGCAACUUAGUGAGACCCUGCCACAAAAUUAAAAAAUAAAAAGGGUUGGGGAUGUGGCUUAGUGAUAAAGUGUCCCUGAGGUCAAUCCCCAUUAUAAAACAAAACAAAACAAAACAAAUUACAAAUUCCUGGGUUUCACCCAAGUGUUAAGACAGAAUCUCCGAGGUGAGGACUGGGAGUGUCUAUGGAAAAUUCCGCAGGUAAAAAAGUGCUGAGGAUAUGCCUGACUGCUGAUCUAUUAUUUUUCAGCUUGAGGAGUUCCAAACUAAAACUUAUGAAUAGAAAAACUAUAUUGUCCUUUUAAGUACAGUCGAUUCUUCAUUAAUUAGAAAAAUGAAAGAACAGAAGAGAAUAAUAAAUAAACCUAAAUCUUAACUAAUUCAAAAUUAAGGGCAACUCUUAAUGAUCUAGUUUCCCUCUGUUUUCGUUUAUUUAAUUAGUUAUUUUAUAUAAUGUUAAGGAUCAUCUUUGAAUCCACACUGAAAACCAAACCUGGGAUCCUGACAGUUACUUAGCCCUACCUGUUCCUGGCCUCCAUCCCUCACUUCAUUGUCUGGGUGUUUAGCUACCGUCGUUCAAAACUAUCAUUCUGAAUCCCAUCUCCUUGUUCUCUUGCUUUUCUUUUGGUGUAGGUUAUUGUACCUAUAUAGUGUUUCCAAAAGGCAUAUGCUUUUUUAUUUUUAUUUAAUUUUUGGUACUGAGGAUCGAACCCAGAGGUGCUUUACCACCGAACCACAUCCCCAGCCUGUUUUAUGUUUUAUUUAGAGAUAGGGUCUCACUGAGUUGCUUAGGGCCUGGCUAAGUUGCUGAGGCAGGCUUUGAACUUGCGAUCCUCCUGCCUAGCUUCCCCAGCCACUGUGAUUACAGGCAUGCUCCACCACACCUAACUCAGCAUAUGCAUUUUUGAUGAAGUUGUUUUUGACUUUGUAAUAAGAGCAGUACUCAGUUGGUGGUGUUUUUGAACUUUUUUAACACCACAUUGCUACUAUAUUGUUGAGUGCUACUAUAGUUCAGUCCACCAAACUUUAGGAGUAACUGUGUUAUAGGGCACUAGGACCUGAAUUGAGCUCACCAAUUACUCCAGCAAGCUCUAAGAGGGACUGACUGUCUUCAGCCGCCUUUCCUUGCCAGGGCAGGAGGAGACAAGCUACACCAGGGUUUUAUUUUCAAGAAAAGAGGAGGCCUAGUCAAAGGAUUUCCUGUUCCUCAAUCACAGAAGCUCAGAGGGGACAAUUACUUCUUUACUUUCCAUACUUGAAUCAGCUAUAAUCUAUGCCUGCCUAUUAUUAAAGAGAAUGACCAUGGAAGUGAGUAUUGAUUAUGGGUAAUGUGCAAAUUGGUGAAUUCACCUUGAUGACAAGAGCCAACUUAACAUUCAGGCCAAUCUUCUCACAUGAUAUGAAAUUCCCAUCUAUAAUACCCUCAUGUAACAUAGCACUUUAUAUAUUAUAUUGCUAUAUAACAUUGCUAUGGGAUGCAUUGUGUCCCCCACAAAAUUCAAAUAUUUCAAUCCUAAGUCCCAGUACCUCAGAAGGUUACUGUAUUUGGAGACAGGGUCUUUAAGAGGUAAUUAGUUUAAAAUGGAAUAAUUGAUUUGGGCCCUUAUCUAAUAUGGCUUAUCUAAAUUUCUUCUCUAUAAGAAGAGAAAAUUUGGACACAGAAACAGGAAAGGUUGUGAGAACACAUAGUGAGAAACCAGUCAUCUGUAAGCCACUGAGAGAAGAAACCAACUCUGCUGUCACCUUGAUCACUUCCAGCACCCAGAGCUGUGGGAAAAUGAAUGUAUGUUGUGUCAGCCACCCCAUCUAUGAUAAUUUGUUAGGGCACCCCUAGCAAAUGAUAUGCGUGUAAUUGUUUUUAUGACCAGAGCUGAUGUGACAAUUAAAGUAGUUUAUGUGACUAAACUUCCUGGGUUCCAAUUCGGUCCUCACCAUUUGUGUGUUUAUAAGACCUUGGAUCGUUCUGGUUCCACCAAGAGAGUAGCCCAUUGCUCCUAGGUCUUUCUCCUCACCACUAAAAAAAUCUCUGGCAUAGAACAGCAAAUAAGCACAGGAAGUCAGAAAAGUGAGAGAAAAAUGGGGUGCCUAGGACUUGGGACUUGAGGAAUGGCAGGUGGUGAAUUCCUGGGUGACCUCCUUGAUGUUUACAUAUAUUGUAAAGAUGCUGCAGAAGCCUUCAAACCAGUCAUCAAUAGGUACAGACAUGAAAAGCUCUGAGAAAAGACUGUUUUCCCUAGGCAAAGGCCCCAGAAAUAUUUUGGCAAUACUUAUCCUACUCUAGUCAAAUGCCAAAAGUAAAGGGAGAAAUGCAUCCUUUCCUCUCUCCCCCACUUGCUGGGGGGAAGCGUGCAGAAUGCUGCCAUUGCCUCACAGGGAUGUAUCAGCAGGGUCAUGUGGGAAGCUUAUCCCCAUCCUGAGAAUGGCAGAAACAGGCAGUGCUUCAUUUCUCCCACUGGGUGGUGUUGACAGGACCAAGUGGGCAGCUGAUCAUCCCCGUUCUGCCCAGGCUGGGUAUCAGUGGGAUCCAGUGUUGACAUGAGUCUAUAUCCUUACCCAGCAGCAAGGAGACUUCAUGGGAGGUGCAGGCUGAGGCAGUCAGCAUGACACAUCUCCCUGUGACAGCAGGACUCAGCAGGUACUAAGCCUCUGCUCCCAUCCAGGAGCAACAGGACAGAAUUAGGUGGAUGGAGGCAGGGCCACUUGGCUCUCUGCUUCUCUCUCUCCCCCUCCCUGCUGGCAGCAGAGCCCAGUGGGGAGGGAGUUGGCGUCCCACUUUCACUAGUGAGAUGUCAAUAGAACAUGAGGGGAAAUGGAAUCAGGAGUCCACUGUCUGCAGUGAGGCAGGGUGAGCUGGUGCCUUACUUUUGCCAAGGUGGUAUCUCCAGGGCCCAGUGGGAUCUUGAAGAUACAUACCCCCCCAAGUCCUUGCAUGGCAUUUCACCACAGGGACUGCCAGAAUCUCAUAAAACAAUACCUCAAUUUCCCAGGAUAUGGUAGAAAGUCACUUAUUAUACAAAGAUCCAGGAAAAUCACAACAUGAAUGAGAAAGGACAAUCAACAGAUGCCAGCCCCAAGAUGAAUCAGAUUUUGCAAUGAUCUGACAAGAAUAUUAAAAUAGUCAUUAUGAUAAUGCUCCAGGAACCACUACACAUAUUUUUGAAACAAAUGAAAACUUAAGAAAUCUCAGCAAAGAAACAGAAGUUCGUUCAUUCCGUCUAUCUAUCUAUCUAUCUAUCUAUCUAUCUAUCUAUCUUAUAGAAUUCAUGUUGAAAUUAUACAACUGAAACAUUCAAUUACCAAAAUAAAACCUUACUCAGUAAGAAAGAUAUGACGGUGUUAUAGUUUGGAUGCAAUAUGUCCCCCAAAAGCUCAUGUGUAAGAAAAUGCAAGAAAGUUUAGAAGUGAAAUGACUGAGUUAUGAUGGCCUUAACCUAAUUAGCAUAUUAAUUCACUGAUAGGUAUUAACUGUGAGGCAGGUAGGAUGUGGCUGGAGGAGUGGGUCAUUGGGUUGUGCCUUGGGGUAUAUAUUUUGUUCUUGGUGAGCACAGCUGUAUCUCUCUCCCUCCCUCCCUCUCUCUCUCUCUCUGGCUCCUGGUGUGAUGUCCUGACCUGCUUUCCGCCACCACACUCUUCUGCUGUGAUGUCCUGCCUUACCUUGAGCCCUGAGGAAUGGAGCUGGCCAUCGAUGGACUGAAACCUCUGAAACUGCAAGC
rnacentral:lncRNA from 1 species